rnacentral:tRNA from 1 species
GUUGUGACUCAGUUGUAGAACAUCUGCUUUAUGUGCAGAAAGUCCCAGGUUCAGUACCUGGCAGCUACA